rnacentral:tRNA from 1 species
UAGCGUAGCCUGGUAGCGCGCUCGCCUGGGGGGCGAGAGGUCGUGGGUUCGAAUCCCGC